rnacentral:lncRNA from 1 species
CCGAUUCCAGGAAGUGCCAGCUAACAGAGAUUGCAGCCGGCAAGGCUCUGAGCAUGCCCAAGGCACCCACACCGGGUCUGGACAGCCCGCUCCCUCUGUCCCUGAGCAGGAUUUGACUCCACUGUGGCAACCACCUGCCCCACUUGUGAGAAAGAAUAAGCCAGGCUGGAAAACAGGCCAAGUGAGAAGGCUUCCUGCCUCCCAUGCCCAUGGGGCAGGGCUGGGUGUUAAUGAACCCAGCGCUGUCACAACAAGAAGGGGGCCAGCUGGAGCCCGCCCACGUUUGACCUCGGUCAUUUGGCAGAAACCAGACUGCAGGGGGAGUGGUCAGAAAUGUAAACAGGUCCAGCUCUCUCCCUGCCUUGGCAGUCUCUGUUGUCCUUGGCCCGCUGUGGGUUGUCACACAUCCUGGACAGGGCUGGUGGGGAUGGCAGAGCUGCAGGACCCCUUUCAAAUCUUGCUUUCUUUCUUCUACCCCCCGCCCUUGGCACCUGGUCCAACACUGGGUACCUGUGGGCCCCCUUCCAUCAGUGCCUUUUCACGGGUUGGUGCUAUAUGCUCCCUUAUUCUGAGCUCAAGUAAUCCGUAACGAUAGAAGCUCCGUGGAACACCUUGCCGUCUUUACUGAGUGCUAAUUUGGUUGGAAAGUCACACAGAAAAGAGGUUGCUAUUGAAUAACCACGUGUGGAAUGAUCUUCAUGCAUCCUUUGGAAAUCAGCCACUCCAAUGUUCAAAAAGGAUAUGAUUUCAGCUAAGCCAGAUUUAAUUGAGAGGGUAGAUUUUGAUUUGGGCCUGGCAUUGAUUGGAUGACCUGAAGCUGCUUUACCUCUCAACUGGGGUGUUUCAUGAACGAGGUCCUAGUUUGGCUGCAGGAGGACUUGUCAUUGAGAAUGUCUAUACAUGUGUGCUCGCUCACCUUUGUAUAAAAGGGGCUGCUUAAUCAGGUGGGACUUCUGAGUUGUUCUUCCAGGUACAGAAAUGCACCAACCUGCUCUGGUUGCUCUCCCUUGCUGUCUAAAACAGAUGCCACCUCGUGCCUUCUUGAGACAGAUGUUCAGGGCCGGGGUUAGUGUCUCUGGCCAAGGAGCCAGAGCAAAGAUAUUUGGUGGAUCCAGCAUUUGGCUCCAUGACUGUGCUCUGGUUAGCCCUGUUCCUUAGUUGUUGGGCCUCUUAACACAUUUUGUGAAGCCGAACUUUAGUACAGGUGUUUACUGAAAACGGGAUGUGUACCGUGGUCCAAAUCUAUUAGACGCUAAAAGGAUUCACCUUGUUUAGAUGCCUGGUACUAGCUUCUUCCCUACCCUCCAGCUGCAGGGGGGCCCCCAGAUUCCCCAGAGCCACAGUUACUCUGCAGUUCUGCUCUCCAGCUACAGCCAGACCAAGACAAAUUUCAGAGUUCUUUUUGUUGUUGUUCAGGGCUGCACCUGCAGCAUAUGGAAGUUCCCAGGCUAGGGGUAGAAUCGGAGCUGCAGCUGCCAGCCUACGCCACAACCACAGCCACACAGGAUCUGAGCCACAUCUGCAACCUACACCACAACACACGGCAACACCGGAUCCUUAACCCGCUGAGCGGGGCCAGGUAUUGAACCUGCAUCCUCAUGGAUACUAGUUGGAUCCAUUUCCACUGCACCACUCUUGUCUGUAGGUUCUUGUCCCAAGGGAGCCGAUGGGUUCGGGAGCUGCUCCAGACUUGGGGCUGGAAAUACGUUCCCAAACUGGAGAUUUCACUGAAGGGCACACCGCCUUUGUACUAGACUGUCUGUAUCUGGGGGUAGAGGUGCGUAACAGGCCCUCUGAGCCUGCACGGGGACAGGUAAACAGGGAUGCUGAAGGAGUGGAAAUGCAUUGUAAACAGUUCUUUAGAAAUGAGUCCCACGGGUGCCAUAUGAAACUGGCUCUGUUUGCAUUUGAAGCCUGGCUGCUGGGAAUUCUAACCAGUACAACACUGUUGGAAGACAAUUUGUAAAUAUUUAGCAAGAGCCUCUAAAAGAUUCAGGUCCUUUGAACUAGUGAUGAUUUUUAUAGAAAUCAAUUCAAACUUUUAAAAGUGAUGCUAAUCACCAAGAUACAUAUUUCAGCAUUAUUUAGCUGAAUUGGAAUUGAUCUAAAUACCCAUUUGUAGGGGAAUGGUUAGGUAUGUUUGGCAUGUUAUGCAGCCACUUAAAAUUUAGUUUAUAAAGACCAAUAUUAUAACCAGUUCUUGUGCAACAACAUUAAGUGGAAAGGCAGGAUACAGUUGAAAGUUUUUACAAUGCGUAAAAUAAAAAACUAGAAAUAAAUCCACCCAAAUGCUAAUAACAGCCAUGCUGGAAAAUGGGAUAAGACGUCAUUUUUUUUUUUCUGUUUAUAUACCUCUUUCUAAAAUUUGUCUAUGAGCAUUUAUUGCUUUCCAUGGGAAAAAUUAAAUGUAAAAAUUAGAACCUCAGAGAAUUGUUCGAAUAGCAUCAAGAUUUGAGAGCAGAGAGAUUUUAACAUUAUCAAUGGCCAACCCCAAGAUCUUUAGCCAGCCAGCCAGUUAACUCAGUGGUAAAGGGGGGUCUUUCUCUGAGCCUGUCCAUGGCUUUGCUGGGUGGCUGGACCAUCUCUUGACACGUGCAGUGAGGAGGCCUCGGAGAGAUGACCUGUGAGUCAUCGCACAACCCAGUAGCCAAUCAGAAUGUAUUAAGGGCUCCCUGUGAAGGAUGCAUCCUGUUUUGAACUAAGAAUGAUAUAGAAGGUCAAAGGGAAAAUGUUGCCCAAGAGAACCUGCAUUCUUACUUAAGAGAUAAAACACUCCUAAGACUUUUAUACACAUAAAACCGUUCAGGAACGUCAGUACGUCUUUGGACAGAUACUACUUAUAACUAGAUUUGUGUAUAUAUUUGUGUGUGGGUAUAUGUGUAUAUAAGUAUACACACACAUGUGCACAUUCACACAGACACAUUCUGCGAACACUCAAAUAUAUUGGUAGCUCAGACAAUAUACGGUAAUUGUGCAAUGGAAAAUAAGCACUUAUUGUGCUGUUAGUAGUAUUGUCUUUGAAUACAAAGAAUGGCUUUUCAUCGUAGAGCAUUUCAAUUGCAAUGACAAUGAUUGCAGACCAGGCCCACACUCGCCUCUCUUAUUAAUGAGUUGAUGCCGUAGUGCUCUCCAUUUGCAAAAUGCCACACAUAGCAAUUUAAAAAUCUUGAUCAUUUCACCAGAAUCAACGAGGCCUGCUUCGUGCGAAAGGCUCCUGGCAGGCUUGGGGAACCCUGCCACAGGUGUCUGGUUCCUGAUGCUCACCUGGAUCCCGCCAGGUGGGUUGGAACAGCUCUCUUUGUUUUCCUGAGGAAGGCACAGAGCAUAGAGCCGGCUGCGUGACAGAUGGGAGUCAGCAGCAAUGCGAUUUUGCUUCUGUGCUGUACCCCUCAGCUGGUCAAAUAUUACCCAGGCAGACAAGGCAAACCACCACCGAGAGACUCUGGUUCAAGCCAAGGCCAGCCUUGUUCUGACCCCUGAAAUCCGGCUGCGGUCUAUGCGCUCCUCCGGCUUCCUCUUCUUGAGGCUUCAGGGAAAGAAGGUACCUCCCACCUUUUUUGCUCAUCCAAGAGAGCAAAGGCAGGCACCUCCUUAGAAAACGCACCUAAGGCUCUAAUCCCUAUACCCUGCACAGAAAAGAGACCCCGGCUUCCCUCUCCCUUGUCUUUUCGAACCCUUUUUUUUUUUUUUUUUUCCUUUUUCUCCCUCAAAGCAAGCAGAGAUAGUAGUAUGAAUAAUUGAUUGUGAGAUGCUGCAGUGACUAACAGCUCUGGUUGGACUCUCUGGCUCAGGAAGCCUGGAAAGGUGCAAGGGGAGGAGAUCUGAAUGACAACCAGGCCUGGAGGUGCUGCGGGGUUGGGGGGGGGCACAGAGCCCUGUGACCGCCUGGCUGGGGCUGGGUCCUUGGACAGAGGGCUGUGCAUUGGACAAGAGGGGCGAGUUUUGGGAAAGUUCUUCUGUGUUCUAAUCCAAUUUGGAUCACACCAGGCGUGGUCUGCAUGUUUACCCCAGUGUGUGAGUGUGUGCAAAGCAGAAUAAGGGCUCCUAAAGAAAACAAAACAAACCAAAAAAACCCCACUGAUUCAUAGUAUACAAUUUAGGAAAAUACUGGUACCUGCAGCCCUUCCCUCCCCUCCUUCCUAAAGACAUGGUGAGACUGGAGAUGUGAGUUUGAAUCCUGUUUCUACCUCAUACCAGCUGAGAGACUUUGCAGGAGUCUCUGAGCCUCACUUUCCUCAUCUAAAACAGGGAUAAAAACCAACCAACCAGCCACCCUCCACACCAGUUUCAUGUACUGAUGUAUGUACUAUAUGUGAUUAUGCUUGGAAGGUAGGAGACUCUAUCAUCUCAUAUUGGAAUAUAAAUAUAGCUGGUGGUAGAUAAAAUUACCUUGCAGCUAAGCAAAACUGAUUCAGAUCUGUUGUGGAAAUACGAGUAUCCGGCCCAAGAGCUUUCCUCACUGUCCUCAGUAACCUGAUCUGAACCUUAGUCUGAACCUUCAUGACAGGUAGUUCUUCCAGGUGGCCCGCCUAGUUCACUCCAGUUGGAAUGAAUGCCCCUGAGGCCGUGGCUCCUGGACCAGCAGCAUCGCAUCACCUGGGAACUUGUUAGACAUGCACAUUCCAGACCCAGGCUUACAGAGAGAGGGAGUCUGGGGUUGGGGAAUCUAGCCAUCGGGCUUGUAGCAAGUUCUCCAGGUGAUGUUGUGGCUCGCUAAGGUUUGAAAGACAUUGCCUUAAGGGACUGUCUCUCUUGACUUUGCCAAGAACCAUCAGGGCUCCGUCCCCCAUGGCCCUUUUCCCGAUGCUUUAAAUCUGUCCUAGCUCCUUUGCAGGCUCUCCACAAAGGAUGGCUAUUUCCUGGAUUCUUGGAAUGUUGGCAGGUUUCUUAAAACUAGGAUUAGGCAAUUCUUCAAGGCUGGCCACCCUCCAUGCUUAGGCAACACACUAAGGGAUACAGGGCCAUAUCACCUCAUCUGCCACCUCCACGUCUCCCUGUGUCUCUGGGCAGGUUCUCAGGUCCAUCCAUCUGCUUCCAGUGCCGCGUUCCUGCCAGGGACUAGGUCGGUUGAGUCAAGAGGGCUGCAGUAUUGCAGAGGAGGAAAAACAAGCUCUCAGGGGAGAAAAGCUGGCCAACGCUGCCUCCUGGUUAUUACCACAGGGCCCGCUGCUGCCCUUUGCACGUGACUGCAUCGCUGCAAAUUCCACAGGCUGCUCUCUGCGGGGAGUUGGGCAAUAGAUAACAACUGUCCGGAGAGUUAUUUCUUUGGUAUUUUGGUUCAUUAAAAAAGUUGUCUGUGGUUCCCAAAAGCUCCAAGGGGAGGGGCUGCUUCUACUUCUGGAAUCCCAGAUGGGAUUUCAACAGCUCUCAACCAGUUCUUAAGCCAUAAGUUAAGUCAACACUUUUAAAUUAUGUGGUGAGCCUACCUUGGGGGAGGCGUGGGUGUGCGUAGAGGAGAUGGUAGUGAUUGGCUCUAAGAUCAUGUGUACAGAUAGCAAAGGUCGGGCGUGAAUUAAUUGAAAAACUGGUCUCCACCACAAAGCCUUGAACUCUAAAGAUGGUGUGUCGACUAAGAAGAGCAAUCCAUCAGAAGCUAUCUUCCCCCCUGCCCCACUGUACAGCAUGGGGAUCAAGUUAUUCUUACAUGUAUACAUUUUUUUCCCCCACCCUUUGUUCUCUUGCAACAUGAGUAUCUAGACAUAGUUCUCAAUGCUACUCAGCAGGAUCUCCUUGUAAAUCUAUUCUAAGUUGUGUCUGAUAACCCCAAGCUCCCGAUCCCUCCCACUCCCUCUCUCUCCUGUUGGGCAGCCACAAGUCUAUUCUCCAAGUCCCUAUCUUUCAUUGCUUGGAAAAUUGGCAGAGUUAAUAUGAAGUGCUGUCCCCUCGACUUCAGGAAGCCGGGGUUCUGAUAUUGACUCUGUCAUUGAUGGUUUGUGACCUUGAGCAAGAUGGUUUCUUCAUUCAUUCUUUUAUUCUUUCCUUCCACAUUUGAUUAACAUCGAUUAUGCUCUUGGCACUAGGCUGGUCAAAGAGUCAAGCACCCACUUGUUUAAAAACAGCCCAGGAGUUCCCAUUGUGGUUCAGCAGGUUAAGAACCCGACGUAGUGUCUCUGAGGAUGCAGGUUCUAUCCCUGACCUCACCCAGUAGGUUAAGGACCCGAUGUUGCCGUAAGGUGCGGUGUCGGUUGCAGACGUGGUUUGGAUCUGGUGUUGCUGUGGCUGUAGGCUGGCAGCUGCAGCUUAAAUUCAACCCCUAGCCCAGGAACUUCCAUAUGCCAUGGGUG